AUUUAGUUUCUGCUAUUAUUUCAAACUCCAGUCAAACAGGCAACGAUUUAAAAACACGAUUGGAAUUAUUUAAUCAUUUGUCCAAUCAAUGUCGUGAUAAUCCAGUCAGUCUGACUGGCUGCAUGUUUUAUAAUCCUGGGUCGCGUGAGGACAAGCUGGAGACGGCCUGCAUCGCACUCUGUCGUGAUGACCGAGCAUUUUCUUCAGAAUCUCUCGCAGGGCCACUCAGGCGCUUUCCUGCUUCGGACCAGUUAAUGAACUGGGGCCAUACCUUUUUUUUGGGGGGGGUGAAAGUGCUUGAAAAAGUUACACAAACUUGGAAUCACGGGAAUAAAACGCAAUCGGGAAUUGGUUCGCACAAUAGCGAAGGACGGAGUUUCGGGAAGCAGGCUGAUACAAACACAUUCCGUACGCUGUUUUGCCCUGAUCCUAUUUAACCUCACUUCCUCUGUUUAGAACAGGCAGUCCGUUAUAUUUUCUUAAAGGAAAGGUCCAAGAAAGUAUUUUUAAACAGAAAUCCCGUUGAAUACUGCCUGUAAUGUGCUUCUGAAGGAACAUACAAAAAAAAGUAUUGAAAACUGAUUGCAACACCAGGCUGUGCGUUGUCCAGAUGUUCUAGAGUGCUCCGAGGGCCACAGCUUUGAGAACAGUCAUUUAAACACCCAUGCAAAGCAAGUAAAACAAAGGAGUAAAACUCUGAAUGUUACAGCCAGUACAAUCGAAAGCAAGACAGAGCCUUGCACCACAACCUUUAAACAUGGAGAAUGACCCCAAAGAGCAAUACUAAAAGAAGUGGAAGUGCUGUCGGAAAAGAUGUUGAUCACCAUGUUUCUGAUCACUCAAGUUGAAUGACCAAAGCAUCUGUACAGAUAAUUCCAUGGGAGAUUUACGUGCAUCUGAGCUGGCAAAAAGGUUAGUGAUGAGUCCAGAAAACCCAACAUCAACAACAGUGAAGGACCAACUUGGAUUAUGUGCAGAAGUCCAUAGUAAAGAUUGAAACCACAAUGUUCUGACUCAAACUGCUGAACCAAACUGAUGUGCUUAGCUGGAAAAUAACAGGAAAUGAAAGUGACAGAAGCUUCCUGUCCCUCAGCGCUUUGUAUCCUUCUCCCUUUCCAUCUUUGAGCUCUCUGUCAAUGGCUUGUACAAUUGUUCCAAUAAAGUGCAACACAAAUUGGCAGAUUUCCAAAAGGGUCUGAGUGAUGUGGGCUAUGGAAAAUUGUUUGGCAGAAUUGGGUGACAAUUCAGUGAAAUCCAUUUUGACAUCAGGAACAACCCAUGCCAUCCUUU